GAGUAACCCAUGUUCUGGGUUAACGCCCCUUCCCCCCGCCCCCUGCUGUUGUUCUGGAAUUUUCUCACAACAGUCGUUUGAAACAACCGUCACUUGAACUUGAACGCACUCGAUCCGUUUUGGUCUGGGCUUCUUCGGUGCAACUUCGUCGCGUAUUCAAGGUCUUUUUAAAUGGACAGCUUUGUCGCUGAUAAGCUAACUGAGUGGCGGAUGUCUGAGCUGAUUUUAGAGGUGAAGACAGAGAUGAGGAGGCAUUUCUUCUCUUAGAUGAGGACACUAUCAAAACUCUUGUCCCUCAAGUUCAAUCCAGUUAUUGAAUGUUGUCAAAUGUUUGAGAGAGAAUGAGUUGUUUUUCUAUUUUUUCUAAUGUCUAAUGUUAUUACAGUGUGACCUAAGAUAAAUAGGUCUAAGUGUGUAGAGUUUAUGUAAAGUUUAAUUUAAUUUAAUGCAAUAAAAAAUGUAAAAGUG